CGAAGGGGGCUAGCGUUGCUCGGAAUCACUGGGCGUAAAGGGUGCGUAGGCGGGUCUUUAAGUCAGGGGUGAAAUCCUGGAGCUCAACUCCAGAACUGCCUUUGAUACUGAAGAUCUUGAGUUCGGGAGAGGUGAGUGGAACUGCGAGUGUAGAGGUGAAAUUCGUAGAUAUUCGCAAGAACACCAGUGGCGAAGGCGGCUCACUGGCCCGAUACUGACGCUGAGGCACGAAAGCGUGGGGAGCAAACAGGA
rnacentral:rRNA from 1 species